rnacentral:rRNA from 1 species
UACGGGGGGGGCAAGCGUUGUUCGGAAUUACUGGGCGUAAAGGGCUCGUAGGCGGCCACUUAAGUCAGACGUGAAAUCCCCAGGCUCAACCUGGGAACUGCGUCUGAUACUGAGUGGCUUGAAUCCGGGAGAGGGAUGCAGAAUUCCAGGUGUAGCGGUGAAAUGCGUAGAUAUCUGGAGGAAUACCGGUGGCGAAGGCGGCAUCCUGGACCGGCAUUGACGCUGAUGGGCGAAAGCCAGGGGAGCAAACGGG